AUCAUUUAGAGGAAGGAUAAGUCGUAACAACCUUUCUGUAGCUGACUUGCGGAAGGAUCAUUGUCGAACCUGCACAGCAAAAUGACCCAAGAACCAGUUUCAACAUCGGGGGUCAGCGGGCUUUCAGGCUCGACGUCCCCUUAUUGUUGGAGCCAGCUCCUGGGCGUACAAAUGAACACCAGCGCGUAUUGCGACAUAGAACUUGAAUGAAAAAGCUCGCUUCUGCCGCCCCGGAAAUAGUGCGAGCCCAGGUGCGUCUUUGCUUUCAAUAUGUCAAAACGACUCUCGGCAAUGGAUAUCUCGGCUCUCGUAUAGAUGAAGAAUGUAGCGAAAUGCGAUACUUGAAUUACAGAAUCCCAUGAACCAUCGAGUCUUUGAACGCAAGUUAUGCCCGAAGCCAUUAAGGAGAGGGCACGCCUACCUAGGCAUCAUAUUUCGUUCCCUACUCCCUCGCACCUUCCUCGGGAGCGUCGGGGUUGGGGUAGGGGGUGAAUGAUGGCCAUCUGUGCGUCACCCUGCACGGUUGGCACAAAUGUCUAUUCCCCGACGAUGAAUGCCAUGAUAAUCGGUAGUUGUCAAACCUUGGUUGCCUGUUAUGCACUUUCGCAGCGUCCGGGCGGCUUGAGAAGCUCGCUGCUGUGCUUCGGUGGAGCUUUGAACGUGACCCGAGGUCAGGCGGGGUUACCCGCUAAAUUUAAGCAUAUCAAUAA
rnacentral:misc_RNA from 1 species